GACGAACGCUGGCGGCGUGCUUAACACAUGCAAGUCGAACGGAAAGGCCCUGCUUUUGUGGGGUGCUCGAGUGGCGAACGGGUGAGUAACACGUGAGUAACCUGCCCUUGACUUUGGGAUAACUUCAGGAAACUGGGGCUAAUACCGGAUAGGAGCUCCUGCUGCAUGGUGGGGGUUGGAAAGUUUCGGCGGUUGGGGAUGGACUCGCGGCUUAUCAGCUUGUUGGUGGGGUAGUGGCUUACCAAGGCUUUGACGGGUAGCCGGCCUGAGAGGGUGACCGGCCACAUUGGGACUGAGAUACGGCACAGACUCCUACGGGAGGCAGCAGUGGGGAAUAUUGCACAAUGGGCGGAAGCCUGAUGCAGCAACGCCGCGUGCGGGAUGACGGCCUUCGGGUUGUAAACCGCUUUCGCCUGUGACGAAGCGUGGGUGACGGUAAUGGGUAAAGAAGCACCGGCUAACUACGUG
rnacentral:rRNA from 1 species